CGUAGGGUGCAAGCGUUGUCCGGAAUUAUUGGGCGUAAAGAGCUCGUAGGCGGUUUGUUGCGUCGGCUGUGAAAUCCCGAGGCUCAACCUCGGGUCUGCAGUCGAUACGAGCAAACUAGAGUGUUGCAGGGGAGACUGGAAUUCCUGGUGUAGCGGUGAAAUGCGCAGACAUCAGGAGGAACACCGGUGGCGAAGGCGGGUCUCUGGGCAACAACUGACGCUGAGGAGCGAAAGCGUGGGGAGCGAACAGGAUUAGAUACCCUGGUAGUCCACGCCGUAAACGUUGGGCGCUAGGUGUGGGGCUCAUUCCACGAGUUCCGUGCCGCAGCUAACGCAUUAAGCGCCCCGCCUGGGGAGUACGGCCGCAAGGCUA
rnacentral:rRNA from 1 species